CUCCACUUCAGUCCUGAGGGUUUGCUGAUUUGGAUCCUGGACCUGGACCUACUCACUGCUCAUCAAGCCCAUGCUGAGGCAGCCUCCCACACAGAAGAACUAGAAGGACCUACAACUAG